rnacentral:rRNA from 1 species
UACGUAGGGGGCGAGCGUUGUCCGAAUUUACUGGGCGUAAAGCGCGCGUAGGCGGUUUCUUAAGUCUGGGGUGAAAGGUUCAACGCUCAACGUGAACAGUGCCUUGGAUACUGGGAGACUUGAGUCUGGGAGGGGGCAGUGGAAUUCCUGAUGUAGCGGUGAAAUGCGUAGAUAUCAGGAGGAACACCGGUGGCGAAGGCGGCUGCCUGGCCUAAGACUGACGCUGAGGUGCGAAAGCGUGGGGAGCGAACGGG